CAAAAUUCUGUUGACAUUCCUGAAUUAUCAGAUAUUUUAGCUUUUCAUUCAGACAAAGAACAACAUAUUUAUGUCCAUGUAGUUAUGUGAAAGAAGCAUCAGGCUGGAGAAGCAUGCCAUUUAUGAUGGAUUCUUGAGAUUGGCAUUCUGGCAUUCAUUCGAGUAGCUCCCUGCAAGACAGUGCAAUAAUCUCUGGUGUUCCUUCAAG
rnacentral:misc_RNA from 1 species